AACUCUUCUGGGGGAAGUGUUCGUAGAAACCAGUUGAUGUUAAAUUGAGAGUUAACUUUAUUCGUGGUUUUACUAAACCGCAGUUAAAACCAAAGUUGGUGGAAAGAAACGGGCAUUAAAACGGGCGUGCGAUUUCACGCGUGUUCGACAGGUUCGUCAUCCGUGUCGUCGUGUUAUUGGGAAAAUCGUGUACCCGUCGAGAGGCUACCGUGAAAAGUGAAAACAUCAACGUUGAAUGUCGUUCGGUUUGGCGGGUGGAACAGUGAAGAGGCGGUGUACCCAAUACGGUGAGCUUCAGGCCGAUCGCGUUGCGCGUGGAACGAAGCCGAAUAAUCCGCGAAUAUCGUCAUUCCCCGUGCUUUACGUGACGAAACAAGAGGAACAUUGAAAAGCUGGAUGUCGCGUGCUUGAAGAAUUCUCGACUGAUCGCUCAGUAUGACUGAAGGUACCACAUAACCAAUCGUAUCGAUGCGAUCGCCGGGCGUUUGAUCUCGGUUAAACGGAUUGUCUAUAUCGCACUUGAGGUCGUAAUCUAAAGUGAGACAAAGCGAAAGGGAGACUGCAAAGUGCAAAGUUAGACUGACCUAACCCAAAUUCGCCGUGAAAAAGACCGAUCCGGCCCUUAUCGCUGGACGUUAUCGAUGGUGCGCGAAAAUAGCUUGGCCGUAAACCUGCCCGUGACCGUUCGCGUAAGCUGUGAGAUCAUUGUACAAACAUUAUGACGGACGUUCGCCCUUGCUCCGUCACGAAGGAUCCUCCCUUCCUUCUCUCCCGCGUAUUUCUGGUGCCGCACGACGGCGAAAGACCCGCGGAGGAUGCACGUGCAUAAACGCGCCAAGUCGAAGGGCGUCGAUGCGUAAAGAUACGAGGUGGUACGAGGCGGUUUGGCACUCAGCUGUGAUUUCACUCGUGCUGUCGACAAUAUCAACCAGCCAUGAAGAAGCAGUUUUUCCGUGUCAAGCAGCUCGCCGAUCAGACCUUCUCCAGGGCAGGGAAAACGGAGAUGUUGACGGAUGAUCUACAAGCUGCUGAUAAACAUGUUGAACAAAUCAGAGCGGCUCUUACUGGUCUUAGUAAGAGACUUGGGAAUCCACCGAAUCAAACAGUCACACAAGAGGCUUUUAAAGAGAAACGUUUGAAAAAAUGCCACGAAUAUGUACUUGGACAAACUAUGUUGGAGAAUGCUGGUGAGGAUGGUCUCAUGAGUUUUGCACUGUUAGAAUGCGGGAGAGCACAAAUGUCAUUGGCUAAUGAAACUGUGGAACAUGAAGCAAAAGUUGAGCAAUAUGUAGCCGUUCCGCUACAACACAUUUUAGAUACCGAUGUACCAAAUAUAUUGAAACAUAAGAGAAAUUUAGCGCGUCUAACAUUGGACAUGGACAGUGCCAGAACGAGAUAUCUUCAAGCGAGUAAACACAGCGCCGGUACAGGUGCGACAAAAGUAGAUAACUUGAGGGAAGAAUUAGAAGAGGCUGAAUCAAAAGUUGAACAGUGCAGAGAUCAGUUAGCCGCGGAGAUGUUCCAGCUCAUGUCGCGCGAAACGGAACUGGCACAAACGAUUAUCCAAUAUGUGAAACUUCAGCGAGCUUACCACGAAAGUGCAUUGCAUUGCCUUGAAGAUCUUAUACCUGGACUAGAAAGUUAUAUCAAUGACAAUGAAAUGAAACCGGUAUACGGGUAUCCUCUCGAGGAACAUCUUAGGGUAACAAACAGGAAAAUUGCGCUACCCAUACAAUUGUGUGUGUCCGUGUUGUUGCGUUUGGGUAUGGAAGAGGAAGGUCUCUUUAGAAUAGCCGGCGCCGCAUCCAAGUCGCGGCGGAUUAAAUUAAGUUUAGACGCAUGCUGCCUCACGCUACCGAGGGCUCUAGAAUAUAAAGAUCCACACGUAAUCGCUGGCGCGUUAAAAUCAUAUUUACGAGAAUUACCAGAACCUCUAUUAACAUACAAAUUGUAUCCCGAAUGGAUGGCUGCUGCAAAACUCGCACACAGCGAUACGAGAUUACGAGCUCUCUGGGAAGUGUUGCAUAAAUUACCGCCAGCGAAUUUGGAGAAUCUACGGUUUCUAAUUAAAUUUCUGGCUGUGCUCACGAAAAAUCAGGAUGUAAAUAAGAUGUCACCGCAGAAUAUCGCUAUUGUCAUUGCCCCAAACCUGAUUUGGAGUCCACAAGAGGAUGCAAAUACGAUAGUGAUGAAUAUGAGUACAGCGAACAACUCUAGUCUUAUAGUAGACCAAUUAAUUACAUACGCGGACUGGUUCUUCCCGGGCGAGGUGGAUUUCGAUCGCGACCUAGAAGUGGGCAUCGCGAGCGAUUCGGAGAAUCAGAUUGUCGGCAUGCGCCGUUGCGUGUCCAAUACUAGUCUCAGCGAUCACGGUGAGAGUCCGCCGCAAGGUAGCCCGAAGCCGGCGGCGCGUCGAAAGAACAAACCAGCGCCGACGCCGCCGAGCGGCAACACUCCGGACAAACACGAGAGGAGAUGCGACGACAGACAACCACCACCGACGCCGGACAAGCCGCCGAGAAUCUUAGCGUUGGGCACGUUGACUCGAACAUCGCAUAAAGUAGCUCACAAGUACGAGAUGAAUGCCGAAUCGACGCGAGGACAACACGAUGACACGGCGGAGCGGCAUGCGGAAACGGACGCAAAGCAAUCGGUCGCGGAGCCGACGUCGACGGAUCUUCAUCUUGCGGACAAUUGCGAGCGAUCGCAGGAGACCAGUACUCACCAAAGCGAAGUGUUCAAUUUAAGCGAUGUAGAGAAGAGCAUCCCGGAAUUGCAAAGAUGCGACGCGAAAGUGAGUGCACCGAGCACAAAGGAGAGACCAAGCGGAGUCUCGGCCGAGAAUGUCGCGAGAUCGACUGUGGAAGUCGAGCACAAUGAAAGUACGGUGCAAAAGCCAAAACCAGUGCCUACAGAAAAGCCAUCCACAUUGGAGAGGAGAAGACCGAUAGCAGCACCUAGAAAUAUAACAAAUAUUACGCAUGCAACAGAAGAUGCGGUCGAAUUGCGUAAAAAGUCAGAUAACACCGUGACGAAUGUACAGUCAUCGGGUGACAGAAGCAGCAAACCGGCGAUCCCCGAGCGGCCGGCUUGUCUGGUUCGUCCGUCGAGCCUCAUCAGACAACAUCCACGUCAUAGUAACGAAAAUCUAGAAACCGAUCCAGGGUUAUUACAAGAGAGUGGACAACAAAUAACACUGCCUGGAUAUUGCAUAUUGACAUAAAGUUACGCAGUAAGCAACAUAUUACGAAUUAAAAAAGAAGAAGGGAAAAAUAAACAACCGCACACAAUGUCCGACAAAGCUUCCUCACGCGCGUUACGCUUGUUGCUAUCCGUGUAGUAAUCGCCGUUACACACAUACGCAUAUACACACUCGUCGCCGGUCGUUGGCUAAAUUAAUAAUUCUUCUCUCAUUGAACCGUCCGCAGCCUCUAACGCUGGAACGGGCGCACGUAUACUCCGUGGACAAACAGCAGAGAAGCCCAAGCGUGGGUAGCCGGCCGUCCUCUAUAUCUCUGUACGGCUCCGAACGCCGCGAGGAGAAAGCGGCGAGGCCGGCGGAGCAGUCGUAUCAAGCGUCGUGCGUCGAGCAAGCGAAAGCUCACGCGCGCACUAGAUCGGAAGGCA
rnacentral:misc_RNA from 1 species